rnacentral:rRNA from 1 species
GACGAACGCUGGCGGCGUGCCUAAUACAUGCAAGUAGAACGCUGAAGAGAGGAGCUUGCUCUUCUUGGAUGAGUUGCGAACGGGUGAGUAACGCGUAGGUAACCUGCCUGGUAGCGGGGGAUAACUAUUGGAAACGAUAGCUAAUACCGCAUAAAAUGGAUUAUCGCAUGAUAAUCCAUUGAAAGGUGCAAAUGCAUCACUACCAGAUGGACCUGCGUUGUAUUAGCUAGUUGGUGGGGUAACGGCUCAUCAAGGCGACGAUACAUAGCCGACCUGAGAGGGUGAUCGGCCACACUGGGACUGAGACACGGCCCAGACUCCUACGGGAGGCAGCAGUAGGGAAUCUUCGGCAAUGGACGGAAGUCUGACCGAGCAACGCCGCGUGAGUGAAGAAGGUUUUCGGAUCGUAAAGCUCUGUUGUAAGAGAAGAACGAGUGUGAGAGUGGAAAGUUCACACUGUGACGGUAUCUGACCAGAAAGGGACGGCUAACUACGUG